rnacentral:tRNA from 1 species
GUCUUAUUAGUAUAUGUGAGUAUGCCUGCCUUCCAAGCAGGGGGAUUAAUUUCCGUUAAAUAGGAUA